GCCGAAGUGAUGGAACUGGUAGACGUGCCGGACUCAAAAUCCGGUGGUGGCAACAUCGUGCGGGUUCGACUCCCGCCUUCGGCACCA
rnacentral:tRNA from 1 species